rnacentral:rRNA from 1 species
CAAUAGCGUAUAUUAAAGUUGUUGCAGUUAAAAAGCUCGUAGUUGGAUUUCUGGUGGGAGCGAUCGGUCUGGCGCUUAGCGCGAGUACUUGCAUCGUCUCCGGCCAUCCUUGGGGAGAGUCUGUCUGGCAUUAGGUUGUCGGGCAGAGGAUCCUCAUCGUUUACUGUGAAAAAAUUAGAGUGUUCAAAGCAGGCUUAUGCCGUUGAAUAUAUUAGCAUGGAAUAAUAAGAUAGGACUUUGGUACUAUUUUGGUGGUUUGCGCACCAAAGUAAUGAUUAAUAGGGACAGUUGGGGGUAUUCGUAUUCCGUUGUCAGAGGUGAAAUUCUUGGAUUUACGGAAGACGAACUACUGCGAAAGCAUUUACCAAGGAUGUUUUCAUUAA